rnacentral:lncRNA from 1 species
GAGGUCAUUGAGAUCCAGCCCCAAAUGAUAGUUCUAACAAAAAGCAGUUGUGGAACAGGACUUCAUAACUAGGACAUCGAGCACAGUGAGCUGGUUGCAAUUGUCUGAAAAGACAAUUCUACAAAUUCCUGGAAAAAAAGUAACAAAAAAGGAAACAUCUUACUUUGUAGCAAGCAUAAUCUGCAAGAAGGAACAAGACCUCUAAGGUCGCCUUCCUUAAGUUUCCUCUUUUCCCUAGCAUCAGUCUACCCCAUUCAAAACUGCUUCUGGAACCACAGGUGGGGCCAUAUUCUUAUAGGCAUUAAUAGUGUUAAUACUACCCCAAUG